rnacentral:misc_RNA from 1 species
UAUUGCUGGUGUAAGAAAUCAAAAGACAAGUCUUUCCAACAGCACCAUCACCCACUGUAACACACUUGAUAAACCUGGAAGCACUCAUAACUUUUCUUGUUUGGGUUUAAAAAUCAACGAUGACCCACUUCUUAUCAGAUCUUCUUGAGAAGACCUGAUCAAUAAAACAAACAAAAACGUAACAAUGUAAUGCUUCUUCAAUUUUUCAGUCCCUCUCAAUGACCCAUCUUUUUUCUUGCCG